rnacentral:rRNA from 1 species
CUCCUACGGGAGGCAGCAGUGGGGAAUAUUGCACAAUGGAGGAAACUCUGAUGCAGCGACGCCGCGUGAGGGAAGAAGGUCUUCGGAUUGUAAACCUCUGUUGUCAGGGACGAUGAUGACGGUACCUGACGAGGAAGCCACGGCUAACUACGUGCCAGCAGCCGCGGUAAAACGUAGGUGGCAAGCGUUGUCCGGAAUUACUGGGUGUAAAGGGAGCGCAGGCGGGAGAGCAAGUUGGGAGUGAAAUCUGUGGGCUCAACCCACAAAUUGCUUUCAAAACUGUUUUUCUUGAGUGGUGUAGAGGUAGGCGGAAUUCCCGGUGUAGCGGUGGAAUGCGUAGAUAUCGGGAGGAACACCAGUGGCGAAGGCGGCCUACUGGGCACUAACUGACGCUGAGGCUCGAAAGCAUGGGUAGCAAACAGGAUUAGAUACCCUGGUAGUCCAUGCCGUAAACGAUGAUUACUAGGUGUGGGAGGAUUGACCCCUUCCGUGCCGCAGUUAACACAAUAAGUAAUCCACCUGGGGAGUACGACCGCAAGGUUGAAACUCAAAGGAAUUGACGGGGGCCCGCACAAGCAGUGGAGUAUGUGGUUUAAUUCGAAGCAACGCGAAGAACCUUACCAGGUCUUGACAUCCCGUGCAUAGCUAAGAGAUUAGUGAAGUCCUUCGGGACACGGAGACAGGUGGUGCAUGGUUGUCGUCAGCUCGUGUCGUGAGAUGUUGGGUUAAGUCCCGCAACGAGCGCAACCCUUAUCGUUAGUUACUACGCAAGAGGACUCUAGCGAGACUGCCGUUGACAAAACGGAGGAAGGUGGGGAUGACGUCAAAUCAUCAUGCCCUUUAUGACCUGGGCUACACACGUACUACAAUGGCUAUUAACAGAGAGAAGCGAAGUCGCGAGGCAGAGCAAACCUCAGAAAAAUAGUCUCAGUUCGGAUCGCAGGCUGCAACCCGCCUGCGUGAAGCCGGAAUUGCUAGUAAUCGCGGAUCACGUGCCGCGGUGAAUACGUUCCCGGGCCUUGUACACACCGC